GCGGAUAUGAUGGAAUCGGCAGACGUGGCAGACUCAAAAUCUGCUGUUGGAGACAACGUGUGGGUUCAAGUCCCACUAUCCGCACCA
rnacentral:tRNA from 1 species